UUCUUAUAAAGAAGAGGCGAGAGAACAGGCUCUAAGACCCUCUGGCAACCGCCGCAUACGGAAAGGUGCCAAAUCCUGCCCAAAUAAUUGAGUUUAUUGGGAACUAUAAAAA
rnacentral:ncRNA from 2 species